CGACGCGUGCGCCCCGCUCCGGGACAGAACUCUGGAUCUUAAUCAUUAUGCCAAAAUUGCAGCAAUAAAGGCGCGAAACGGCUCAACAGAUUUGGCAGACAUGUCCAGCUCCCUCGCCUGGAUCGAAGCAAAUGACAUGUGCGACCCCGGGAGCCUCAAACAAAACUCUUUGCCAUGCGUUCAGAAGAUCUUUGGUGCGCUGACGAGCUACACCUCUGCCGUGAAGAUGAUUUCUGCAUUUGAAAGCUGC